CCUACGGGUGGCAGCAGUGGGGAAUAUUGCACAAUGGGGGAAACCCUGAUGCAGCGACGCGGCGUGAGUGAAGAAGUAAUUCGUUAUGUAAAGCCCUAUCAGCAGGGAAGAAAAUGACGGUACCUGAGUAAGAAGCCCAGGCUAACUACGUGCCAGCAGCCGCGGUAAUCCGUAGGGGGCAAGGGUUAUCCGGAUUUACUGGGGGUAAAGGGGGUGUAGACGGCAGUGCAAGUCUGGAGUGAAAGGCGGGGGUUCAACCCCCGGACUGCUCUGGAAACUGUACGGCUGGAGUGCAGGAGGGGUAAGUGGAAUUCCUAGUGUAGCGGUGAAAUGCGUAGAUAUUAGGAGGAACACCAGUGGCGAAGGCGGCUUACUGGACUGUAACUGACGUUGAGGCUCGAAAGCGUGGGGAGCAAACAGGAUUAGAUACCCGGGUAGUC
rnacentral:rRNA from 1 species